rnacentral:rRNA from 1 species
GACAGAGGUGCCAAGCGUUAGGCGGAAUCACUGGGCUUAAAGCGUGUGUAGGCGGAUCGUUAAGUACCUUGUGAAAUCCCACUGCUCAACCGUGGAACUGCUGGGUAUACUGGCGAUCUUGAGCCACCUAGGGGCGAGCGGAACAAGCGGUGGAGCGGUGAAAUGCGUAGAUAUCGCUUGGAACGCCAAUGGUGAAAACAGCUCGCUGGGGGUGUGCUGACGCUGGGACACGAAAGCCAGGGGAGCGAACGGG